UACGGAGGGUGCGAGCGUUGUCCGGAAUCAUUGGGCGUAAAGGGCGCGUAAGUGGCCCGGUCAGUUCGUGGUGAAAGCGCGGGGCUCAACCCUGCGUCGGCCAUGAAUACUGCCGCGGCUGGAGCACUGUAGAGGCAGGCGGAAUUCCGGGUGUAGCGGUGGAAUGCGUAGAGAUCCGGAAGAACACCGGUGGCGAAGGCGGCCUGCUGGGCAGUGCUGACACUGAGCGCGACAGCGUGGGAGCAACAGG
rnacentral:rRNA from 1 species